UUGUGCUUUUACUUGAUUGUAAUCUUCUCGUUUCAGUGCAGACAAAUGCAAGUUCAUGGACUCAAAGAUGAAACCUCUAUGGCUAAUGUACAAGAGCAAAUAUGAUUCCGUGGGCAUUAUUUUCAAAAACGGAGACGAUCUGAGGCAGGACAUGUUAACCCUUCAGAUGAUUCAGAUAAUGGAUAUUCUAUGG